UGAAGAGUUUGAUCAUGGCUCAGAUUGAACGCUGGCGGCAGGCCUAACACAUGCAAGUCGAGCGGAUGAAGGGAGCUUGCUCCUGGAUUCAGCGGCGGACGGGUGAGUAAUGCCUAGGAAUCUGCCUGGUAGUGGGGGAUAACGUCCGGAAACGGGCGCUAAUACCGCAUACGUCCUGAGGGAGAAAGUGGGGGAUCUUCGGACCUCACGCUAUCAGAUGAGCCUAGGUCGGAUUAGCUAGUUGGUGGGGUAAAGGCCUACCAAGGCGACGAUCCGUAACUGGUCUGAGAGGAUGAUCAGUCACACUGGAACUGAGACACGGUCCAGACUCCUACGGGAGGCAGCAGUGGGGAAUAUUGGACAAUGGGCGAAAGCCUGAUCCAGCCAUGCCGCGUGUGUGAAGAAGGUCUUCGGAUUGUAAAGCACUUUAAGUUGGGAGGAAGGGCAGUAAGUUAAUACCUUGCUGUUUUGACGUUACCAACAGAAUAAGCACCGGCUAACUUCGUGCCAGCAGCCGCGGUAAUACGAAGGGUGCAAGCGUUAAUCGGAAUUACUGGGCGUAAAGCGCGCGUAGGUGGUUCAGCAAGUUGGAUGUGAAAUCCCCGGGCUCAACCUGGGAACUGCAUCCAAAACUACUGAGCUAGAGUACGGUAGAGGGUGGUGGAAUUUCCUGUGUAGCGGUGAAAUGCGUAGAUAUAGGAAGGAACACCAGUGGCGAAGGCGACCACCUGGACUGAUACUGACACUGAGGUGCGAAAGCGUGGGGAGCAAACAGGAUUAGAUACCCUGGUAGUCCACGCCGUAAACGAUGUCGACUAGCCGUUGGGAUCCUUGAGAUCUUAGUGGCGCAGCUAACGCGAUAAGUCGACCGCCUGGGGAGUACGGCCGCAAGGUUAAA
rnacentral:rRNA from 1 species